rnacentral:rRNA from 1 species
AGUGAACGCUGGCGGUAGGCCUAACACAUGCAAGUCGAACGGCAGCACAGUAAGAGCUUGCUCUUACGGGUGGCGAGUGGCGGACGGGUGAGGAAUACAUCGGAAUCUACUUUUUCGUGGGGGAUAACGUAGGGAAACUUACGCUAAUACCGCAUACGACCUACGGGUGAAAGCAGGGGAUCUUCGGACCUUGCGCGAUUGAAUGAGCCGAUGUCGGAUUAGCUAGUUGGCGGGGUAAGGGCCCACCAAGGCGACGAUCCGUAGCUGGUCUGAGAGGAUGAUCAGCCACACUGGAACUGUGACACGGUCCAGACUCCUACGGGAGGCAGCAGUGGGGAAUAUUGGACAAUGGGCGCAAGCCUGAUCCAGCCAUACCGCGUGGGUGAAGAAGGCCUUCGGGUUGUAAAGCCCUUUUGUUGGGAAAGAAAAGCAGCAGGUUAAUACCCCGCUGUUCUGACGGUACCCAAAGAAUAAGCACCGGCUAACUUCGUG